rnacentral:rRNA from 1 species
GAUGAACGCUGGCGGCGUGCCUAAUACAUGCAAGUCGAGCGAACGGACGAGAAGCUUGCUUCUCUGAUGUUAGCGGCGGACGGGUGAGUAACACGUGGAUAACCUACCUAUAAGACUGGGAUAACUUCGGGAAACCGGAGCUAAUACCGGAUAAUCUUUUGAACCGCAUGGUUCAAAAGUGAAAGACGGUCUUGCUGUCACUUAUAGAUGGAUCCGCGCUGCAUUAGCUAGUUGGUAAGGUAACGGCUUACCAAGGCAACGAUGCAUAGCCGACCUGAGAGGGUGAUCGGCCACACGGGAACUGAGACACGGUCCAGACUCCUACGGGAGGCAGCAGUAGGGAAUCUUCCGCAAUGGGCGAAAGCCUGACGCAGCAACGCCGCGCGAGUGAUGAAGGUCUUCGGAUCGUAAAACGCUGUUAUUAGGGAAGAACAUAUGUGUAAGUAACUGUGCACAUCUUGACGGUACCUAAACAGAAAGCCACGGCUAACUACGUG